UACGUAGGGUGCAAGCGUUUGUCCGGAAUUAUUGGGCGUAAAGGGCUCGUAGGCGGUUUGUCGCGUCGGGAGUGAAAUCCACUGGCUUAACUGGUGGCUUGCUUUCGAUACGGGGCAGACUGGAGGUAUGCAGGGGAGAACGGAAUUCCUGGUGUAGCGGUGAAAUGCGCAGAUAUCAGGAGGAACACCGGUGGCGAAGGCGGUUCUCUGGGCCUGUACUGACGCUGAGGAGCGAAAGCGUGGGGAGCGAACAGG
rnacentral:rRNA from 1 species